GGUGAGCGACGGUGGGUUCCGGUGUCGAAUUGGACACUUCCGGGAACUCGAAUUGGAACGAUUAUCCGACGAUAAUCGUUUCAAUGUGAGUUAGUGUUGUUGCUGCCAAAUCCCAUGAAUAAUGGUGUUUAGUAGCAGCGGGUGACUCGUAGCACGAGUCGGUGCUUUUCGGGACAGUUCGUGGGUUUCGGCGGAGUCCCGGUGCGAUUUUCGGGACUUCCGGCGAGUUACGAUAAUUGGUUUCGGGAAACCGAUCCUGUGGGAUUGUUUUUUGGGGAUGUGGAUUCAGUGUUUAUUAUUUGUGGGUUAGACACGGUGGACCCUCCUUAGGUCUGGUUGACGUUCGUUCGCAGUAAGGAGACAAGCGUGACAUUCGUACAGGUGGGUACUUCGAUCCGAAGUCGGUACAGUGGUACACGCUCGGUGAUAGUUUCUUACCCUUGCUAUCUCAUUGUUAUCUGGCAUAUAUAUCUUUAUAUAUAGUGUUGAGCCUAGCGCCCGUGUUGUUUUGGUUAUACUCUACUCGGUUGUUUUUCAUAUCUAGUAGCAUGAGUAGGAGUAGAGUGGAUUUAUGAUUUCAGGUGAGAUCAGUGACCUAGUUGGUCGGUUUUAGUAUUUCGUGUCUGUGACCUAUUCGGUCGGUUUA
rnacentral:lncRNA from 1 species